AGGACGAACGCUGGCGGCGUGCUUAACACAUGCAAGUCGAGCGGAAAGGCCCUUCGGGGUACUCGAGCGGCGAACGGGUGAGUAACACGUGAGCAACCUGCCCUUAGCUCCGGGAUAGCUCCGGGAAACCGGAAUUAAUACCGGAUACGACCACGGCCGACAUCUGCUGUGGUGGAAAGGAUUCCGGCUAAGGAUGGGCUCGCGGCCUAUCAGCUAGUUGGUGGGUAAUAGGCCCACCAAGGCGACGACGGGUA
rnacentral:rRNA from 1 species